rnacentral:lncRNA from 1 species
AAUUUGUUGAAUAAAUAAGUGAAUGAAGGAAGGAAGUCAGGAACAAAGGAAAGAAGAAAUACAAAUGGCCAGGUGAACUGUAGGUCUUUGAGAACUACUAAUCAACUCUAUCUAGUGAAAUUUCCUUUACAUUCUCUCUUCCCCCUUCUUCAGACUGUUGCCAAUAAAUAUGUUAAAAAAUAAGAUAACUUGAUUAUAGAAGUAAGUAUCAAAGAUUUUCCUAUGGUUUCUCAUUACUAAAAUCAGAGUUUUUAGAAUGGCUUCCAGGAUAAGAACACAAUGAAAAAGCUGUGAAAUUACAAAGUCUUGAAAUAUUGGAGAAAACAAACAACAAAAUACCUUUUUCUAAAAAACAAAAGGUGGUUGCCAUUAAGAGAUAACUGGGGAAGAAAAUAACUGUUAAUGGCUCAAUUCUCUAGCUCUAAAAGCAGAGUAGACAGAGUCCUAAACUCAUGGCAGAAGAGGAAAAUGGGUCUCUUUCCACUCUUGCAAAUUAGAAGCUUAGAUUUUCCACAUAGAAAAUAAAUGUACUGGAGGUUAAGUCGUCUUUUUGUAAUCUGACCUAUGUACUUCAUCACCAGGUAUAAUGAUGCUCUUAAGGAAAAUGUCUUACAAUUAUUAAAUAGCCUGCUUACCAUGACAUUUCAGAAGACUUCAGGCCCAAUUGCCUCAAACAAGAAAAUUAGAAUGAUACCAUAAGACACAAAACGAAGGAAUAAUUGAAGACCUUCUCCAUGAAUAAACUUCCACUUUUCCAUUCUUUGUGACUCUGUUGUCUGACAGUCAAAGGUCCCAUCAUCCACGCUGUAAGGAUAAAGAACUUCCUAAGGCUGAGCCUAAACACAGUGAUUUUUUUGCAGGUAUGGGCAAAUAACAAUUAAUACAACUGAUGUUUAUUUGAAGAAAUUGAUAUGGGUACUAAAAGAGGGUCAUUUCCUUAUUCUUUGAGAGAAACAGCUAUAAGGAUGCAUUGUUCUUACUGUAUCAUUUAUAUUCUGAUAGGAAAGCAGAUUCUUUCCUAAGCACUUCAAGCAGCAAG